rnacentral:rRNA from 1 species
CACGUAGGGGGCGAGCGUUGUCCGGAUUUAUUGGGCGUAAGAGCUCGUAGGCGGCUCGGUAAGUCAGGUGUGAAAACUCUAGGCUCAACCUAGAGACGCCACCUGAUACUGCCGUGGCUAGAGUCCGGUAGGGGAGCAUGGAAUUCCUGGUGUAGCGGUGAAAUGCGCAGAUAUCAGGAGGAACACCAGUGGCGAAGGCGGUGCUCUGGGCCGGAACUGACGCUGAGGAGCGAAAGCGUGGGGAGCAAACAGG